rnacentral:rRNA from 1 species
UACGUAGGUGGCGAGCGUUAUCCGGAAUGAUUGGGCGUAAAGGGAGCGUAGACGGCGAGACAAGUCUGAUGUGAAAGCCCGGGGCUCAACCCCGGGACUGCAUUGGAAACUAUGUAACUAGAGUACCGGAGAGGUAAGCGGAAUUCCUAGUGUAGCGGUGAAAUGCGUAGAUAUUAGGAGGAACACCAGUGGCGAAGGCGGCUUACUGGACGGAAACUGACGUUGAGGCUCGAAAGCGUGGGGAGCAAACAGG